rnacentral:lncRNA from 1 species
AAAUUGGAGUUGUGGGUGGAGCCCGGCUCUUGUAGGAGUCAGGGCGAAGUCUUCCUGCAAUCAAAGUCAUAGGCAGAGUCCAGCUCCCGUAGAAGUCCGGACAAGGCUUAUCGGCAGUUGCUGUUGUCAGCAGAGCCCGGCUCCCGUAGGAGUCCGGGCGGGGUUGUCCUGUAGUUGAUGUCGGCGAUUGGAGCUCGGCUCCCGUAGGAGUCCGGAUUGGGCUUACCAUCGGUCGGAGUAGCUUAAGUUAGGGCAAGGUUUUCCUCUUGGGGGGCGCAUAUGGGC